CCUGGAACUCACUAUGUAGAUCAGGCUGGGCUUGAACUCACAGAGAUCAGCCUGCCUCUGCCUUCUGAGUGCUGGGAU
rnacentral:miRNA from 1 species